rfam:Zea mays cultivar B73 chromosome 1, whole genome shotgun sequence.
ACUUUAGUAUUGAUCCCAAUCCACAUGUAUUGAGGUGGAUUGGGGUGUAAUUUAAACUAAUUUACACCCCAAUUCACUCCAGCACAUGUGGAUUGUAGUCAAUACUAGA